rnacentral:rRNA from 1 species
UACGGGGGGAGCAAGCGUUGUUCGGAUUUACUGGGCGUAAAGCGCGCGUAGGCGGACCUGCAAGUCGGGGGUGAAAGCCCGAGGCUCAACCUCGGAACUGCCUUCGAUACUGCGGGUCUCGAGUCCGGGAGAGGUGAGUGGAAUUCCUAGUGUAGAGGUGAAAUUCGUAGAUAUUAGGAAGAACACCAGUGGCGAAGGCGGCUCACUGGCCCGGUACUGACGCUGAGGCGCGAAAGCGUGGGGGAGCAAACAGGG